GACGAACGCUGGCGGCGUGCUUAACACAUGCAAGUCGAACGAAAAUACCAAGCUUGCUUGGUUGAUUAGUGGCGAACGGGUGAGUAACACGUGAGUAACCUGCCCCUUACUUUCCUGUAUAACUUCUCGAAAGGGUAGCUAAUCCGGGAUAUUCUGACCAGCCUGCAUGGUUUGGUUUGGAAAGGUUGUUUUUCUGGUAAGGGAUGGGCUCGCGGCCUAUCAGCUUGUUGUUGGGGUGAUGGCCUACCAAGGCUUUGACGGGUAGGCGGCCUGAGAGGGUGGACGGUCACACUGGGACUGAGAUACGGACCAGACUCCUACGGGAGGCAGCAGUGGGGAAUAUUGCACAAUGGGCGCAAGCCUGAUGCAGCGACGCCGCGUGAGGGAUGAAGGCCUUCGGGUUGUAAACCUCUUUCGUCAGGGAAAAAGGCACUGCUUUUGUGGUGGUGUUGAGGGUACCUGGAUAAGAAGCGCCGGCUAACUACGUG
rnacentral:rRNA from 1 species